rnacentral:rRNA from 1 species
UACAGAGGUCCCAAGCGUUGUUCGGAUUCACUGGGCGUAAAGGGUGCGUAGGCGGUCGGGUAAGUCUGAUGUGAAAUCUCACAGCUUAACUGUGAAACUGCAUUGGAUCCUAUCCGGCUCGAGGAAUGGAGGGGAGACUGGAAUACUUGGUGUAGCAGUGAAAUGCGUAGAUAUCAAGUGGAACACCAGUGGCGAAGGCGAGUCUCUGGACAUUUCCUGACGCUGAGGCACGAAAGCCAGGGGAGCAAACGGG